rnacentral:rRNA from 1 species
UAGGUUGAAAACUGAGGGGAUGAGCUGUGGGUAGGGGUGAAAGGCCAAUCAAACUCCGUGAUAGCUGGUUCUCCCCGAAAUGCAUUUAGGUGCAGCGUUGCGUGUUUCCCGGGUGGGGUAGAGCACUGGUUGGCUGAUGGGCCUUGUACGGGUUACUGACGUCAGCCAAACUCCGAAUACGCCGUGGGUGAAGCGUGGCAGUGAGACGGCGGGGGAGAAGCUUCGUCGUCGAGAGGGAAACAGCCCAGAGCAUCGGCUAAGGUCCCUAAGUGUGCGCUGAGUGGGAAAGGAUGUGGGAUCGCUGAGACAACCAGGAGGUUGGCUUAGAAGCAGCCAUCCUUGAAAGAGUGCGUAAUAGCUCACUGGUCAAGUGAUCCUGCGCCGACAAUGUAGCGGGGCUGAAGCGUGCCACCGAAGCCAUGCCAAUGACACUGAGGUGUUGUUGGGUAGGGGAGCGUCCUGCGUCCGGUGAAGCGGCCGAGUGAUCGUGUCGUGGAGGGUGUGGGAGUGAGAAUGCAGGCAUGAGUAGCGAGUGCAGAGUGAGAAUCUCUGCCGCCGAUUGACUAAGGGUUCCUGGGGCAGGUUCGUCCGCCCAGGGUGAGUCGGGGCCUAAGGCGAGGCCGACAGGCGUAGUCGAUGGAGAACGGGUUGAUAUUCCCGUACCCGUGUGCACGCGCCCAUGAUGAAAUGGUUGAGACUAACCACCCGCUUGCUGUCAUGGUUUUCGGAUUGUGGUGGUGGGUGCGUGGGGCCUGAUUCCGCGGUAGUCAAGUGAUGGGGUGACGCAGGAGGGUAGCUGUGCCAGUGAGUGGUUGUACUGGUGUAAGCCUGUAGCCUGUCAUCUAGGUAAAUCCGGGUGACGUGAUGGGUGAGGGGUGAUGCGUAGCCGUGGUGGUGAAGUCAGUGAUCCCGUGCUGCCGAGAAAAGCCUCUAGCGAUGUGUGUGCAUGGCCCGUACCCGAAACCGACACAGGUGGUCAGGUAGAGAAUACCGAGGCGGUCGGGUGAACUGUGGUUAAGGAACUCGGCAAAAUGCCCCCGUAACUUCGGGAGAAGGGGGGCCACUGCUGGUGAACGCCCGUGCGGUGGGAGCUGGUGGUGGUCGCAGAGACCAGGGAGAAGCGACUGUUUACUAAAAACACAGGUCCGUGCGAAGUUGUAAGACGAGGUAUACGGACUGACGCCUGCCCGGUGCUGGAACGUUAAGAGGACCCGUUAGCACUUUUGUGUGAAGCGGAGAAUUUAAGCGCCAGUAAACGGCGGUGGUAACUAUAACCAUCCUAAGGUAGCGAAAUUCCUUGUCGGGUAAGUUCCGACCUGCACGAAUGGCGUAACGACUUCUCCGCUGUCUCGACCACAGGCCCGGUGAAAUUGCAGUACGAGUAAAGAUGCUCGUUUCGCGCGGCAGGACGGAAAGACCCCGGGACCUUUACUAUAGCUUGGUAUUGGUGUUUGGUUCGGCUUGUGUAGGAUAGGUGGGAGACUGGGAAGCUGGCACGCUAGUGUUGGUGGAGUCGUUGUUGAAAUACCACUCUGGUCGUUCUGGGCAUCUCAACCUCGGGCCCUGAUCGGGUUCAGGGACAGUGCCUGGUGGGUAGUUUAACUGGGGCGGUUGCCUCCUAAAGGGUAACGGAGGCGCCCAAAGGUUCCCUCAGCUUGGUUGGCAAUCAGGUGUUGAGUGUAAGUGUAUAAGGGAGCUUGACUGUGAGACUGACGGGUCGAGCAGGUGCGAAAGCAGGGACUAGUGAUCCGGCACUGGCUGGUGGAAGCGGUGUCGCUCAACGGAUAAAAGGUACCCCGGGGAUAACAGGCUGAUCUUGCCCAAGAGUCCAUAUCGACGGCAUGGUUUGGCACCUCGAUGUCGGCUCGUCGCAUCCUGGGGCUGGAGUAGGUCCCAAGGGUUGGGCUGUUCGCCCAUUAAAGCGG